rnacentral:rRNA from 1 species
GGUGAACGCUGGCGGCGUGCUUAAGACACGCAAGUCGAACGGCAGUCUUCGGACUGUAGUGGCGCACGGGUGAGUAACGCGUAACUGACCUACCCCAAAGUCGCGGAUAACGAUUCGAAAGAAUCGCUAAUACGUGAUGUGCUGUCAGAUUGUGUUCUGCCAGUAAAGAUUGAUUGCUUUGGGAUGGGGUUGCGUUCCAUCAGCUAGUUGGUGGGGUAAAGGCCCACCAAGGCGACGACGGAUAGCCGGCCUGAGAGGGUGGCCGGCCACAGGGGCACUGAGACACGGGUCCCACUCCUACGGGAGGCAGCAGUUAGGAAUCUUCCACAAUGGGCGAAAGCCUGAUGGAGCGACGCCGCGUGAGGGAUGAAGGUCUUCGGAUCGUAAACCUCUGAAUCAGGGACGAAAGACACUUCGGUGGGAUGACGGUACCUGAGUAAUAGCACCGGCUAACUCCGUGCCAGCCGCCGCGGUAAGUC